rnacentral:rRNA from 1 species
UACGUAGGGUGCGAGCGUUAAUCGGAAUUACUGGGCGUAAAGCGUGCGCAGGCGGUUUUGUAAGCCCGAUGUGAAAUCCCCGGGCUUAACCUGGGAAUGGCAUUUGGGACUGCAAGGCUUGAGUUUGGCAGAGGAGACUGGAAUUCCUGGUGUAGCAGUGAAAUGCGUAGAUAUCAGGAGGAACACCGGUGGCGAAGGCGGGUCUCUGGGCCGAUACUGACGCUGAGGAGCGAAGGCGUGGGGAGCGAACAGG